GUGCGCCGCCGCGUCCUUUCCGCUCCCAGGGUGGUGAUUGCGUACCCGGGGCCGCCUGGGGCGUGGAUGGAACGAAGGCCCGGCUCUCCGGAGGCUUUCAGUGGGGCGACCAGGGUGUCUCUGUGUCUUAGUCCAGAAAAGUGCCCCCCCGGCACGUGGGCUUGAGUCGCACAGCGCAGAGCAGAGCGCGCUCCUCCUGGGUGUGCGGAGGGCCCAGUUAUCCGACCCGUGUGAAUCGGACACCAGGGAACCGACAGAUUACACAAAUGCUGUGGAAUCCUGGUCUGCCACCUCGGAGCAGUCUUGGAGAACGGAAAGGGCUCGGGUGACUGCAGUGGGGAAAAUGCUCUCCUCGUCUUCAAAAUGAUAAGUUCAAUUUUGUAAACCUCAGAUAGUUUAGUGCCUCUUCUGCCCUUAGCCUAAGCCAGGGGCUCUCAACAUCGACACUAUAUUUACCUCUGAGCCGGAUAAGUCUUUGUUGCAGGAGGGCUGUCCUUGCCCCUCUACCCACUAGAUGCCAGCAGCAAACCCUGCCAUCCCUCCCCCAGAGUGACUGUUUUUAAUUUUAUUUUUGGAGUAGUAAACAUUGACGAAGGUUCGAGAUAUCUCGCUUCUACCCUUACCUUCUCCAGUCCUUUUCACCCCAAGUUCAUUAGUUCAUCUUUAUCCUUCUAGCUUAUCUUCUUGCAGAGAUAAGCAACAUAAAUAUAUUGUGACAUGAGAAAUAAAAUUGAGUCACUAUGUCACCGGGUUUUAAAUGGAGCUGGAAGGCCAUCACGGAGGUGGACUUAUGCACAGCCUCACCAGGUAGAACGACAAACCUUUGAACUGGGCGGAACCACAAAAGCUCCAAGGACUCUGCAAGAACAACCUGCAACUUGUCACAGUCUUUCAUCUAAUGGCUCAGAUGAAAUUUGCACUUUCCAGCCUGACACGUUAACCCAGCACCUGAAGGACAGGUGCCCAAAGAGAAGCUGACUUUCUCAUCUGGUCAGGAAUCACCUGGGCAAUCCAUUUCACAAUGCAAUGCAGAGCGAGAUGAACCAGAACCUGCUGUCUGGGAUAGGGGCCAUCCCACCUCCCAGGCGACGUGAGACCUGCACGAGGACCCUGGGGCGCUCUCCCCCUGUGGGCUAUCUGAGCAACACCACAGCCAAGUCCUGGGGUCACAUCUACGGUUUGAUGAACUUGAUGUUUGCGCAUCACCUUUAGUAACUUUAUUACCCGAACCACCUAGCAUUCACGAAAUGGCGACCGUGACACACUAGCUGUGCUGUGACUGUUUCGCUCAUUCCACAAACUUAUUGAGCACCUGCUCUACAGACCAGGAGGUACACUAGGGUCUGGUGACGUCGUGGUAGGAGACACGGUCCCCGGCCUCAGGAUACCAGAUAGAUAUUGUGAGAUAAUAGAAAAAAAUGUGUACUGGAGUCUGCCACUGGCUCCUGGCACAGGGCUCCGGAGCCCUUGUAAUUUCCUGGGUGAUAGGAGUGUCUUCUGUUCUAAUGAGGUGACUCUGGGUGGGCUCCGGGCUGAGGGCUGCUCACUGGAAAGACCUACCCGUGAUUAGAAGCUUGGGAUCUUCCGCCUCACCACCCCGCAUUCUCUUGAGAAGGGAGAAGAUCUGAAAAAUGGAAUUAAUAAUGGAUCAUGCCCACGUGAGGAAGCCUCCGUACGUAAAAUCCCACUAGUGUGAGGUUCAGAGAGCUUCCAGGUGGGUGAGCACAGCCACACAGGGAGGGUGACGCACCCCAUCUCCAAGCGGACAGAGGCUCCUGCACUCAGGACCCUCCCAGACCUCGCCCUGUGCAUCUCUUCAUCUGGCUGUUCAUCUGUGUCCUUUGUCUUUUAA